rnacentral:rRNA from 1 species
AUGUUCCCUUCCUUCGUGGCCAAUCUCCACAACUUGAAUGACUAUUUCGGCCUGGUCCUCGCCGGAUCAGGACACAACUUCAGGGCGCACGGCCCACCCGGGACCGGGAUGCGGUUUUUGGUCACAUGCGAUACUGCCAACAUCCGGCACAUCUUUACGACGAACUACAACAACUUUCCCAAGGGCGACGAGUUCGCAGCGAUCUUCAACAUCAUGAGCGGCAGCAUCUUCACCAUUGAUGGUGGGCCGGAUCGUCAGCAGCGCACGAAAAUCAAGAGCAUGGUUGGCAGCCCGCGGUUGGUUCCAAGGAUGGAGGCUUGGUGCCGCGACAAGGUCUAG